CCGCUCGGGGGCGCGCGGACGGUUCGCCUCUCUGCCGGUGCCGAUGUGCGGGGCUCGGGGACAUCGGGAUUUGGAAGAUUUUCUUCCUUCUCCUGCAACGAGUUUGAGUGAACUUCCUAUUUAUUCUUCACUUCUUCAUGGCUAUUUUACGCUACCAGACCAAGGCAGUCCUUAUGUGCUGUCUUCUCUGGAAGCUUCUCCCUGAUGACCAGUUGUACUCCAAGGUCCAAGUCUGCAUGUUGCAUAAUGUGUUUCCAGUCUUCAGAAAGGUAAUUCUGAUAAAUGUAACUCAAACACCAGCUGAUGCAGGUACCUCCUCUGUGUCUGCAGAGAGACUAGAC